GCAUUGGUGGUAUAGUGGUGAGUAUAGCUGCCUUCCAAGCAGUUGACCAGGGUUUUGACCAGGGUUCGAUUCCCAGACAACUCA
rnacentral:tRNA from 1 species